GAAGCUGUUACGAAAUUUGUUAGUUUCUCUACUCCCAAUCCCGAAGAGCGAUAGAGGGAGCUGCGUUGAAUAGUGAAAUUUGGGAUUAGGGUUACUGUUCGAGAGAGCGAAGAUGAUCGAGGUGGUGCUGAACGAUCGGCUUGGGAAGAAGGUGAGGGUGAAGUGCAACGAAGAUGAUACGAUCGGCGAUCUCAAGAAGCUGGUGGCGGCGCAGACCGGAACCAGAGCUGACAAGAUAAGGAUCCAGAAGUGGUAUAACAUCUACAAGGAUCAUAUCACUCUCAGGGACUACGAGAUCCAUGAUGGCAUGGGCCUCGAACUCUACUACAGCUGAAGAAGGUUGAUUCCCGCACUGUGUUGUCAAGCUCAUGGUUCGCGUUAAAUUAAAGAUUUCCACUAUAUGCGGAAGGAAGAAAUAAUGAUAACAAGAUCACUCCUGGAUUUCCGUGAAUGAAAGCUUAUGUUGGUAUGUAGUAGCAUGUAUUAAACUGUCCUAUUGAUGAUACGAAAGCAUAAUAUGCACUCUAGUGUGAUUUUUAAUUGUGUGUUACAUACUUUGCAUAUAUGAAUCCUUUCCUUCCAUCUUAAUAGUGAGCUUUAAGACAGUAUGCAGUAUUAAUCGUGUGGUUACGCACUUAUGCUUUAUUGCUAAGUUUUUGUUUUUGGGAAA